UCGAACAGCUAGUAUCCAUCGUUUACGGCGUGGACUACCAGGGUAUCUAAUCCUGUUCGCUCCCCACGCUUUCGUCCCUCAGCGUCAAUAUAGUGUUAGUGAUCUGCCUUCGCAAUUGGUAUUCUGUGUAAUAUCUAUGCAUUUCACCGCUACACUACACAUUCUAAUCACUUCACACUAAUUCAAGAAACCCAGUAUCAAUGGCAAUUUUACAGUUGAGCUGUAAGAUUUCACCACUGACUUAGAUUCCCGCCUACGGACCCUUUAAACCCAAUGAUUCCGGAUAACGCUCGGACCCUCCGUAUUACCGCGGCUGCUGGCACGGAGUUAGCCGGUCCUUAUUCUUAUAGUACCGUCAGCUUCUCACACGUGAAAAGGUUUCUUCCUAUAUAAAAGCAGUUUACAACCCAUAGGGCCGUCUUCCUGCACGCGGCAUGGCUGGAUCAGAGUUACCUCCAUUGUCCAAUAUUCCUCACUGCUGCCUCCCGUAGGAGUCUGGUCCGUGUCUCAGUACCAGUGUGGGGGAUCCCCCUCUCAGGGCCCCUACCUAUCGUUGUCUUGGUAAGCCGUUACCUUACCAACUAACUAAUAGGACGCAUACUCAUCUUAUACCGCCGAAGCUUUACUAUUUAUAUAAUGCUAUAUUAAUAGACCAUGAGGUAUUAAUCUUCAUUUCUAAAGGCUAUCCCUCUGUAUAAGGCAGAUUGUAUACGCGUUACGCACCCGUGCGCCGGUCGUCAGCAAGUAGCAAGCUACCUCUGUUACCCCUCGACUUGCAUGUGUUAAGCCUGCCGCUAGCGUUCAUCCUGAGCCAGGAUCAAACUCU
rnacentral:rRNA from 1 species